UACGUAGGGUGCAAGCGUUGUUCGGAAUUAUUGGGCGUAAAGAGCUCGUAGGCGGUCUGUCGCGUCGGUCGUGAAAACUUGGGGCUUAACCCUGAGCUUGCGGUCGAUACGGGCAUGACUGGAGUUCGGUAGGGGAGACUGGAAUUCCUGGUGUAGCGGUGAAAUGCGCAGAUAUCAGGAGGAACACCGGUGGCGAAGGCGGGUCUCUGGGCCGAUACUGACGCUGAGGAGCGAAAGCGUGGGGAGCGAACAGG
rnacentral:rRNA from 1 species